rnacentral:rRNA from 1 species
UACGAAGGGGGCUAGCGUUGCUCGGAAUCACUGGGCGUAAAGGGCGCGUAGGCGGCCAUUCAAGUCGGGGGUGAAAGCCUGUGGCUCAACCACAGAAUUGCCUUCGAUACUGUUUGGCUUGAGUUUGGUAGAGGUUGGUGGAACUGCGAGUGUAGAGGUGAAAUUCGUUAGAUAUUCGCAAGAACACCAGUGGCGAAGGCGGCCAACUGGACCAACACUGACGCUGAGGCG